ACUACGGGUGGCAGCAGUGGGGAAUAUUGGACAAUGGGCGCAAGCCUGACGCAGCAACGCCGCGUGAAGGAAGAAGGCUUUCGGGUUGUAAACUUCUUUUGUCAGGGACGAAGCAAGUGACGGUACCUGACGAAUAAGCCACGGCUAACUACGUGCCAGCAGCCGCGGUAAUACGUAGGUGGCAAGCGUUAUCCGGAUUUACUGGGCGUAAAGGGCGCGUAGGCGGGACUGCAAGUCAGAUGUGAAAACCACGGGCUCAACCUGUGGACUGCAUUUGAAACUGUAGUGCUUGAGUACUGGAGAGGCAGAUGGAAUUCCGAGUGUAGCGGUGAAAUGCGUAGAGAUUAGGAGGAAUACCAGUGGCGAAGGCGGUCUGCUGGACAGCAACUGACGCUGAGGUGCGAAAGCGUGGGGAGCAAACAGGAUUAGAUACCCGUGUAGUC
rnacentral:rRNA from 1 species